CAAAUACAUCAUCUCCAAUUGAAGCAUUGCGGGUACACAAAUAGUUACAUACUGUAUAAUCCAUCAUUAAUCCACCAUAUUUUUUUCUUUUUCAAAUCAACCCACCAUCCAUUUCACACUUAUCACUCAUCCCCUCUGCCGUGAAUAAUUAGUUACUGUUAUAAAAGAAAAUAAAACAGAGAAAACCAUAUAAAUACCAUCACCAACCAUUUACUCUCAAUAAUUAUUUCCUCGCCAGCCUAUCUACCCUCGCCGUAAAUUAAACACGCAUAGUGCCUCUUCUCUCUGCGGAAAAAUACACACCCGCCACUUUUGUUACAAACCACCGCUAGCCUUCUCCGUUUUCUCGCCGGAAAAAGACCCAAUUUUAUUUAGGUUGGUGGCCUUCUUGCUCGAUAUUUGGGGUGAAGUUUUGGUAACACGGCCAAUAAUUUUUACCAGAGGGUAUCGAGUUUGAAAGGUCCUCCAAUAAGUUGGACUAGAAGUUUACCAUAGAGUUAAAGCAUCUUGCACAUGAUGACUCAUUUGUUGCUACCGAGUGGUGCAGAUAUACCUUCAAGGUGUGAGGUUUCACAUGAUGCAUUGGCAAAUAUCAUUUUAUGGCUGGCCAGGUUUAUUGAAGCUCAUAUAUGGGUUUUUUCGAGUAGGAAGGAAUAGAAGUAGCUUGUACAAGUAAAGUUGUAUGUUAUUUGUGGUGAAAUAAAUCUGCUCGAGACUUUGGAACAUGGCGAUAUUAUGAAUUUUUGUACUUGGUCGAUGCUACUAAGAGGAACAUCAAUUUUCUUAACACUUAACAGUAUGCUUACUUCUCGUACUCUUAAACGGUAAUCAGGUAAUCAGGUGAACUCAAGACAAGAUGUAUGAUUUGAUAGAUUGUUGGACUCGGGCUUAGACUUACAUAGAUCAAGGAUUCACAUGCCCUUCUUUUGCAUUAUGUUUAGGAUCGAUCGCCAUCUUUUAGAUUGUUUUGUAAACUUGUGAUGGCUACUUGCUCCUUAUGCAUUUUGUGUUUGUACUUGUCUUAAACUUAUUGAAUUCACCGAAUUCAUUUAUUUUCA